CUGGACGGUGGCGCGGUGUUUGGGUUGUCCUCCUACGGCAGCAGUCCACUACGCAACCGCCUGCAAAAGGCGGCGUCCAGC
rnacentral:tRNA from 1 species